rnacentral:snRNA from 1 species
GAAUUGCAAACAAUCCAGCUGUGACGUGUGUCACCCCAUUGAUCACCAGGGUUAAGUCAGCUGCUCUGGCUGGCUAGGUGGGUGUUCCCUUCCUCCCUCACCCCUUUGUGUACGUCCCUCCCAGAGCAGUGCACUUGAUGGAAGAGGACGCCCAGUCCAGAAAAAUGGAGAGUAUCGAUCUUCGACCAAGGAUAUAUGAUAGCUGCAAAGUUAGCAACUUUAGGUGAUCCCUUCAUUAAAACAAAAAUCAAUUGUUUAUAGGU